GACGGUAUUUAACCAGAAAGUCACGGCUAACUACGUGCCAGCAGCCGCGGUAAUACGUAGGUGGCAAGCGUUAUCCGGAUUUAUUGGGCGUAAAGAGAGUGCAGGCGGUUUUCUAAGUCUGAUGUGAAAGCCUUCGGCUUAACCGGAGAAGUGCAUCGGAAACUGGAUAACUUGAGUGCAGAAGAGGGUAGUGGAACUCCAUGUGUAGCGGUGGAAUGCGUAGAUAUAUGGAAGAACACCAGUGGCGAAGGCGGCUACCUGGUCUGCAACUGACGCUGAGACUCGAAAGCAUGGGUAGCGAACAGGAUUAGAUACCCUGGUAGUCCAUGCCGUAAACGAUGAGUGCUAGGUGUUGGAGGGUUUCCGCCCUUCAGUGCCGGAGCUAACGCAUUAAGCACUCCGCCUGGGGAGUACGACCGCAAGGUUGAAACUCAAAGGAAUUGACGGGGGCCCGCACAAGCGGUGGAGCAUGUGGUUUAAUUCGAAGCUACGCGAAGAACCUUACCAGGUCUUGACAUCUUGCGCCAACCCUAGAGAUAGGGCGUUUCCUUCGGGAACGCAAUGACAGGUGGUGCAUGGUCGUCGUCAGCUCGUGUCGUGAGAUGUUGGGUUAAGUCCCGCAACGAGCGCAACCCUUGUUACUAGUUGCCAGCAUUAAGUUGGGCACUCUAGUGAGACUGCCGGUGACAAACCGGAGGAAGGUGGGGACGACGUCAGAUCAUCAUGCCCCUUAUGACCUGGGCUACACACGUGCUACAAUGGACGGUACAACGAGUCGCGAACUCGCGAGGGCAAGCAAAUCUCUUAAAACCGUUCUCAGUUCGGACUGCAGGCUGCAACUCGCCUGCACGAAGUCGGAAUCGCUAGUAAUCGCGGAUCAGCAUGCCGCGGUGAAUACGUUCCCGGGCCUUGUACACACCGCCCGUCACACCAUGAGUAGUUUGUAACACCCAAAGUCGGUGGGGUAACCUUUUAGUAAGCCAAGCCGCCUAAAGGGGACAGAA
rnacentral:rRNA from 1 species